rnacentral:rRNA from 1 species
UACGAAGGGGGCUAGCGUUGCUCGGAAUUACUGGGCGUAAAGGGCGCGUAGGCGGACAGUUUAGUCAGAGGUGAAAGCCCAGGGCUCAACCUUGGAAUUGCCUUUGAUACUGGCUGUCCUGAGUUCGGGAGGGGUGAGUGGAACUGCGAGUGUAGAGGUGAAAUUCGUAGAUAUUCGCAAGAACACCAGUGGCGAAGGCGGCUCACUGGCCCGAUACUGACGCUGAGGUGCGAAAGCGUGGGGAGCAAACAGG